CAUGCAAGUCGAACGCGAAAGUCCCCUUCGGGGGAUAAGUAAAGUGGCCUCCGGGUGAGUAACACGUAGGUAAUCUACCUUCGGGUGGGGAAUAACGCAGGGAAACUUGCGCUAAUACCGCAUAAUGCAGCGGCACCACAUGGUGACAGUUGUUAAAGCGGGAGAUUUUCGGACCUCGCGCCUGAAGAGGAGUCUGCGGCAGAUUAGCUAGUUGGUAGGGUAACGGCUUACCAAGGCGACGAUCUGUAGCCGGCCUGAGAGGGCGGUCGGCCACACUGACACUGACAUACGGGUCAGACUCCUACGGGAGGCAGCAGUGGG
rnacentral:sRNA from 1 species